rnacentral:rRNA from 1 species
GACAGAGGUGCCAAGCGUUAGGCGGAAUCACUGGGCUUAAAGGGCGCGUAGGCGGGCUCGCAGGUCAGGGGUGAAAGCCCACGGCUCAAACCGUGGAAGUGCCUUUGAUACCGUGAGUCUCGAGGGAGGUAGGGCGUGCGGAACUUCCGGUGGAGCGGUGAAAGUGCGUAGAGAUCCGGAGGAACACCAAAGGCGAAGGCAGUGUCCUGGGGAGUACCUGACGCUCAGGUGCGAAAGCCAGGGAGCGAACGGG